ACACCGCCCGUCACACCAUGGGAGUCGGAAAUGCCCGAAGUCAGUGACCUAACCCGAAAGGGAGGAGCUGCCGAAGGUGGAGCCGGUAACUGGGGUGAAGUCGUAACAAGGUACC
rnacentral:rRNA from 1 species